rnacentral:rRNA from 1 species
UACGUAGGGGCCUAGCGUUGUCCGGAAUCAUUGGGCGUAAAGAGCGUGUAGGCGGCCAAUUAAGUCCUGCGUGAAAUCUCGGGCGCUACCCACGAGACGGUCGUGGGAAACUGGUUGGCUAGAGUGCGGGAGAGGAGAGUGGAAUUCCUGGUGUAGCGGUGGAAUGCGCAGAUAUCAGGAAGAACACCCGUGGCGAAGGCAGGUCUCUGGGCAUUAACUGACGCUGAGGAGCGAAAGCAUGGGGAGCGAACAGG